rnacentral:pre_miRNA from 1 species
CUUGGCACCUGGUAAGCACUCAGUAAGUAUUUGAUGAGUGCCUACUGUGUGCCAAGACA